AAUUCUGUUUGAUACUGGGUUGCCAUGCUGUAAAUAACUUCACCGCCACCGUGUUUUCACUAAUGUUAAAGCUUUAAAAAAAGACUUAUGGAAAGUGUUCUUGAACCUGAGUGUUUGAUAACAGGCGACAUCAGAGGGAGGAGGGACUCUGAGAGGGACCUUGGGGACCAUGUCAACGUUUUCUGUGCCGGAGCAGGGACAAACAUUGGGCAAACAUUGGGAAAGGCUGGCAGCCUUUGAGAUAGUGGGCCGUUGAUCUAAGACUGGAAGCUAAAGUCCACUAUCUCCUGUCUGAUACAGCAGCCAAGGUCUCAGUGACACACAGAGCCGCAGAACAAACAUGGAUAUACCUGAAGACAAUGACCUUUGAAUCCCCCGGUGGGAGAGGUGGAAAAAAACAGGAAGUGGUGAAAGUGACUCCUGUGACUUCCUCCCUGCAGGCCAAGAAUGAAUCAGGUGGAAUGAUUAAAUAGACGGUCACAAGAAGAGAACAGAGCCCUUGGCUGGUGCUUUGAGACAUGCGGGGCCUAGCCCAUCCUUCAGUGAGAAAUAUGUCCAGCUCGCUCUCUCAGGGUGCCGGAUCUUAAGAAGAAAACUGUCCGGGGCGGAGGAGCUGGGGGACAUAAU